UCGAGUCCUCGCGCGAUUGCGCGAAGUCGUGCGCCCUGGUGUUGCCACUAAACCCCGGGCCGCCACCGCGGGGACGGCGGCAGACAUGCGCCGCCUCCUCGCCGCGGCAUGGCCGUGCGCUAUCCUCCUCCUCCUCCUUGCCGGCGCGCUAGGGUCUCCGGCGUUUGCGAGCUCCGGUGCCGCUGCCGGCCGUCUGGAAUGGCAGAUCCUGACCAGGGCCAACUUCUCUUCCCAGAUCCAGCUCCACCCCCACGUCCUCCUCCUCGCAACGAUGCCCUGGUAUGGUGAGUCCAGAGCAUUGAUGGCUGACAUAGAACAUUUGGUUGGUUCCGACGAGGAGCUUGGUCGCCUCAAGCUGAUGGUUGUAUACAGGAAUUCUGAGAAGUUGCUGACAGAUGCUAUUGGUGCCACUGAAGGAAUAAAGGUUGUAUACUACCAACGUUCCAUGCGAUUCAAAUAUCAAGGGAAGCUUCGUGCACGAGAUAUUCUGUCUUCGAUGCGCCAUAUCAUGUCACUUAAGCACGAGGAGGCCCCUUUUGAAGUUUUGCAUACAAAAGAAGAUGUGGAGACUUUCAUUGAAUCAACUGAUAAAUCUAUAAUCCUUUACGAGUCCUGUGGAUGGUUCACCAGAUUGGCUCAUGGUUAUGGCGGGAGCAACCAGACUUAUGAGGUGGCUUCAUCAAAUAACCACACGGAAAAUGUUGACAUUUCUGGGAAGACACUAACCAGAGAAUCAGAUGGGCCGCUAGAGCUUGUUAUAGAGGAUGAAGAACUAACCUUUGGAGGUGGUGGUCAGCUUACUGAUUCUUCUUGGAAAGGUGGGUUUACCUUGGCAAAUGAAAGUGUCUCUGAGCAAAUUGGAAACACAGACGAUGGAAAUAGAAAGUGUACAAUGCAAAUGUUCCAUCAGUUUGAAAGCUUCUAUGCAAAGCUUACAGCUAUAGCAAGAGAAUAUUUUCUUCCUCCAGAAAUAGCUAGGUUUGGUCUUAUAACCGAAAGAUCAUUGCUGCCAUCACUGGAUGUUGUUAAUGAAGGCAACCCGGAGACGUGGUUUGUUAUCAUUCAUUAUCUGGGAUGCACAUCUUGUUCCAUUAUUGUGAAAGAUGGAGAUGACCUUGGAAAUAUAGUGCAGUCCCAUCAUAUUCUGGGCAUUAAGGAGGUUGGUGCUGAUGAAAGUGGUGGCAAGGCUAUCUUCCCUGCAAGCAGGCCCUCGAUAAUUCUAUUUAUUGAUAGAUUAUCCCAUUCUUCAAAAGUUGGAGAUGAAAGCAAAUUCGUCAUCAAGUUACUAAGACAGUACGUCCAAAAUAACUAUCCAUUUCAUGUCAGUACUGGAGUUCUAAGUAGCGGUACCUCAAAAACACGCUCAAAAGUGGUCAAUUCUUUGAGAAAUACAGCUAUUUCAAAUGCCCAUUCUGAAUCAGGAAGGCUGAGUGCUUGGGCAUCUAAGCUUAUGGCACUUGGGGACAAAAUGUCAGUUAUGGUGGUUAACGAUGGAGAUAAUAUUUUAUACAGAACUUCCAGCCAUGAUAGCGGCGGUAGUCCUUUAUAUGACGUUUUAACUAAGUUGCUACACAAAACGAGACCAGGGCAUAGGUUAAAGAAAACGAGGAUAAAUUUAGUUGCAAAAGACGUUGGCCUAAAUAUGCUGUCAGAUGACUCUAAAAUUCAGGUAGUCGAGUCUCCAUCAGCUCAAGAGAGUGAAUACAAAAGGAUUGACAAUUCAGUUACCACUACAGAUAAUUCCAAUGAUGGUAUUACUGAAGUUUCUGCGGAUGGAAACACAGCAGAAGAAACUGAAUAUAUCGAUGAUGGGCAAGCACCAAGUAUACUUGAGAAAACUCUGGCAACUUACCCUGAUGAAAAUUAUAACGAUCUUGAAUCAGAUUUUGCAGAAGUGGAGGACCAAAGCAAAAGUGAAGCUUCAGAUAUGAGCCCUGAUCUUCAGGAAGACGUCUCCUAUAAUGCGUAUAGUAGUGGUGAAGUUGAAGGUAUAUUGCAUAGAUGCACAGUGGAGGAAACAGUUACAGAAACUUUGGAAUCUGAUGAGAGAAACAUGCAUGCGGAACAAGAGGAAUCAGUAUCAUCAAAUGAGCAAGAUGAUGGAUCUUCAGCACAUAAAUGCAUAGUGGAGGAAACAGUUACAGAAACUUUGGAAUCUGAUGAGAGAAACAUGCAUGCGGAACAAGAGGAAUCAGUAUCAUCAAACGAGCAAGAUGAUGGAUCUUCAGUCCUGGGUAAAAAAUUCAGAAAAAAUGAAGAUGUUACUUAUGAGGAGAGCACAUUCAAUCUACAUGAAGAAUCAGAAGAAAGUGAUACAAGAUGUCCCCAUCAUGCAACAUCUAGCUCUUCCUGCAGUCCUGUAAAAGAUGACGCACACUUUACCGAGCAUGUAACUUCAAGUAUAUCUGAUGACCGUUUUGCUGGUUCUUUCUACUUCUCUGAUGGUGGUUACAGGCUCCUGAAAACUUUAUCUGGUGGAUCAAUAAUUCCAUCCCUGGUAAUUAUUGAUCCAGUUCAACAAAAGCAUUAUGUCUUUCCUGAGGAAAUUGAGUAUAGCUAUGCUUCUUUACAGAAUUAUCUUGACAGUUUUAUGAAUGGAAGUCUUCCUUCGUAUUACCAUGUUACCUCAUCAGCUAUAAGUUCAAAGGAACUUCCAAGGCCACCUUUUGUUAAUCAUGAUUUCCAUGAGGCAAAUUCGAUCCCUCAGUUGACAACAGAUAGUUUUUGUCCAUUGGUCUUUGGAUCUGCAGUCUGUGAUUCAAAAAGUGAAGUAUCAUUUUCAAACACUGAAAAUAUUUCAUCGGGUUGGAACAAGGAUGUAAUGGUGCUUUUCAGCAACUCUUGGUGUGGGUUUUGCCAGCGAGCAGAGCUGGUGGUCCGUGAGUUAUACCGAUCAUUUAAGAGCUUUUCCAGUUAUUCAGAUUCUUCAUCUGCAAAUGCUCAAGAUGUGCAAGUGCACACUGAAGGGAAAAAUGAAAAAUAUGCCAUGAAGGGCUUUCCAGUGAUUUAUAUGAUAGACUGCACAUCAAAUGAAUGCCACCAUUUACUGAAAUCUGCAGGCAUGGUAAGCAGCUAGUGACUUAGGGAAUUAGGGGAACAUCGUGUUUGCGAAACUCAUCUUUGUUGAGUGGGCAUUGGAUAUAAAGGGGCAUCUGCAAAUAAAUUUAGUCAAAAGGUACUUGUAUGAGCAACACUCAAGCACGACGCAGUCUUUUUUGGGGUUAUCAGGAUUGAUAUAACUUCAGAAGAUUUUGUCAUUUGACCAUUGAAACAACUAUGAUCUCUAGAGUUUACUAGUGGUCGAAUGCUAACUGGUUCAGACUUCAGAGUUCCCCCUUCUGAGAUUUCAGAGAACAGGGAGGGCAGGCCGGCAGGACCCUCUAUUGCCCCAACCAGCCAUGGCCCACACAGUUCAGUUUGUUGAACACUAUUUAUAUGGUUCUAACGUAAUGUUGUAUUGUGUUCCUUCCAAGAAAGUUCAAACUAUCGAAUGCAAAGCUGUGCCUACACAAGAAAGUUUUUAAAUUCAAUCAGUUCAGACCCUGUUUGGAGCACAUGAAUGUUAUAGGGAACAUAACAUUUUCCUUCAGGAAUUGGGAAAUCCCCCCAUUAUAAUUGGGGUGGCAUCUGACAAUCAUCAGUUUUCUGAAAUGCAUUUAUUUUUAAAAAGUAUCAGGAGUGUAUGUUCUUGAGCUUCCUUAUUUAACAGCAGCAUUGGCAACAACUAAAACAACAGCUCCUUAUUUGAAUAUUUUGAUACUGAUGCACUUACUAAUGCUACUGUGUUGCACCUUCAUCUACACACAGGAAGAGCUUUAUCCUACAUUGUUGCUUUUCCCUGCGGAGAACAAAAGUGCAAUAGCAUAUGAAGGGGGGAUGUCAGUGGUUCAUUUAAUCAAUUUUUUGGAGUCUCAUGUUAGCAAUUCUCGCCAUCUAUUGGAAUAUAAAGGAUAUAUGUGGAAGAAGAGAAUGGCAACACAGCAAGAUGCGCCACAGGCAUUUCAAUUUCACAUCAGUGAUAAAGGCAGCGGCAGUGUUGGUUCUGACUUACCAAAUCAUUCAGAUGUCGUUACAGGAUCCAUCCUCACUGCCACUGAUAAGCUUGGGACUGCAGUACCAUUUGAUAAUUCCAAAGUGCUCAUUGUAUCUUCUGAUUCUCAUGGAGGCUUUCAUGGCUUGAUAAUCAACAAACGAUUAAGCUGGGGAAUCUUCAAGAAUCUGGACAGCUCGAUGGAGUCUAUCAAGCACGCCCCACUUUUCUAUGGUGGGCCUGUUGUGGUGCAGGGUUAUCACCUUGUGAGCUUGUCAAGAGUAGUCUUGGAGGGGUACAUGCAAGUCAUACCAGGCGUCUAUUAUGGGAACAUAAUUGCCACAAGCCGGGUAGUCACAUGGAUCAAGUCGGGUGAGCAAUCUGUUGAUGACCUGUGGUUCUUCUUAGGCUACUCGGGGUGGGGAUACAACCAACUUCUUGAUGAACUAUCUGAAGGAGCAUGGCUCGUCAGUGGGAAGCCGAUUGAGCAUUUGGACUGGCCGGAGACUUGAAAGAGUUCUCUGGACCUCUGUCGUUGCUCCAAAGAAAAUUUUCAGUCCACCUUGCACAUACCUCCCAUCACUGCAACAUAACAUUGUACUUCAUCUUUUUUGGAUUAGAGAUAUAGCAUCCUGUAUUUUCAGAUCAUGUUCACACUGUACUAUGGUGUCACAAAUUUGUUAUACAUAACGCUUUGAUAGUCAAGACUUCGCUGUUAUCCCUGUGAAGUUAUGUUAGAUCA